GUGGAAGUGGAAGCCAAAUAAACCCUUUUCUCUCCAACUUGCUUUUUGGUCAUAGUGUCUCUUCACAGCAAUAAAACCCUAACUAAGACACUAUCUAUCACUUUUCUAAAUCCAUUCUACUGGGCAGACACCUAGGUUAAUUCUGCAUCUCUGCUCUUACAGUAUGCUGGGUUGAUUAUUUUCAGCUUAGACCCAGGAGCCAUAUCGUGGGGUCCUAAGUUAGUUCUAUUCAUGUUUAGAUAAAACUUCCUGCCCAUGUCCAGAGUGGAUGGACUAAUGCACAGAAAAGGGGGCACACCAACCGCACGCACAGUUCUGAAGAGAAGGACGGAUAACCAGUAAAGGAACCCAGCAUCUCCAGGGACCCGGGAAUUGCAAAUGGAAAGUCCGCAGAGGUUCCAUUUCACCCUGGCCAGAACGGCCACCAGAAGAAACCGGACCAAACCAUGAAUGCUAAUGAGGAUUUGAGGGGGAAAGAGCACAUAUAUGCUGAUCGUGGGAAUGCCAGUCGGUCUGGAUUAAUGUCUUGCCGAAGAGCUGGCUGUCUGGUGGCUCAGUCAUGUUGACAUAAAAUGAGCCAACUUUUGACUGGAACCUCUGUGCUCUCUUCUGUCAUUUUAUAGCACCCUGUGACUCUUAAAAAGUGAACGUUCUUUUUUGCUUUGGGAAGUUCUUUCUCCUGUUACAGUCUCCCAACUCAAGAUUUUAAGUAGAAAUCAACACAGGCUUCUCCUGUUUGUUUUUUGCCAUCUACCCUUUUCCCCACAAGACGACACAUGCUCCCAAGAAGCUUCCUUCAUUUCGAAUGUUCAAAGAGGACUCUGCAGGAGAGACAGCCACUGGUUUUUGGCAGCAGGGCAGCUCUGCAGUGACAACCAAGUACUCGCACAAGGGGCAACGGCAGGUACCAACAUCCCUGCUUGAUCAGACAGUUUAUGAGAUGGCAGGAGAAGACAGACCUUAUCUUCAGGUGCUGUGUGAUUAUGCUAUUGCUCUGGCAGUGAGAGAGCAGAAGGCUGGCAAGAGCUGAUGUCCCCAUUGAGGGAGAGGAACCACAGUUCCUUCAGAGGCCAAAAGAAACCGCAGAGGCGAAACCCCCAAACCACACUCCAGUAGAUACAGCCUCUGGGGCUCCAAAUUCUUCAGAACCCAUCAGAUGGGAGGGAAAGGCAUGGUUAUUUUCCAGCCAGAGGCCCAGGCUUGAAGAAAUGAAUGGCAUCUCCAUGCAAGACAGACAGCUGCCAAAAGUCCCUCUCCUAGUAGCACUGAGGUCUCAAGGAAGAGCCCACAUGCCUGGGCAGAACCUUCCAGGCUCUGGUACAAAGGAUUCUGUCCCCCUUCCCCCUCCCCACCUUUAUUCAUUUUCCACUGAUUUUUUUUUCUUUCUGUGAGCCUAUGACAAGAGGAAGAAACUAAUCAUAAAACCUGAUCAUAAAAUUCCUUCCUACACUUGAAGACAGCUAUUAAAUAUUCACUCAGCUGAGGUCUGCUUGCAUCCUUUAAAACAAAAGGGGCUCCCGGCUCCCACCGUCCCCACCCCUGGGACCAGCGCCGACCAUCCCGAAAGUUGCCACUGCCCCUGUGUUGAGGGCGAAGUUAGCGAAUCUGGAGCUGCGAGUCUCAACUUGGGGGAGGGGGCGACGGGCAGGGCUGGGGAGGGGAGUGAG
ensembl:lncRNA